AGCGAACGCUGGCGGCGCGCUUAACACAUGCAAGUCGAACGAGAAGGCGUAGCAAUACGCUUGUAAAGUGGCGAACGGGUGAGGAAUACAUGGGUAACCUACCCUCGAGUGGGGGAUAACCCGCCGAAAGGCGGGCUAAUACCGCGUACGCUUCCGAUCUUGCGGGAUCGGAAGGAAAGCUGUCCCUUGGGGAUGGCGCUCAAGGAUGGGGCUCAUGUCCUAUCAGCUUGUUGGUAGGGAACGGCCUACCAAGGCAUCGACGGGUAGCUGGUCUGAGAGGACGAUCAGCCACACUGGGACUGAGACACGGCCCAGACUCCUACGGGAGCAGCAGUGGGGAAUUUUGGACAAUGGGGGCAACCCUGAUCCAGCCAUGCCGCGUGCGGGAAGAAGGCCU
rnacentral:rRNA from 1 species